CUCCGGAGACAGCCUGACGUCGAGUUAAGCGCUGCCGCACAGCCGCAUCUAGGCCUGGUGGCUGAAAGUCCCGGUGUGUGACGUUCGCAUCUGGCCGGGGGAUUAUUGUCUUGCUCGAUGCCGGGCGGGUCCGGGAGAUCUGACAGAGUCACCUGAAAGUCAACUCAGAGGAAACUGAGGAUGUAGAUCUUCAUUUCGAUGCUGCCAGAGCAAGAAGGGAGAAGUCAUGGAGUGAUUCUCCUGCCCAUUGAAUGUCCGCUCUCUGAGUAGGACAUGACAGGCCUGAGGGACACUACUGAUGUUACAAGACUAUCAGAUUCCUACGGACUGCGCUGUGUAUUCACCUUCAGUCGUUCCAGACCAGGCCAGCAUCUCCACACAAUCUCCUGAGUGACAACUGCACUUGGUUCAGACACAGUGGGAGGACCCUUAACAACAAGAUCAUAACUACUGCAACACGUCUCACAGAAAAUAUGUGCAGGAUAAGAUGACUUUAAACUAUGAAGUUGCAUAUUCCGUUUGUCAAAAUGAAGCAGACGCUUUGCCGUUCACAGGUAUAGCCUUAGAAACAUUUAACAGUCCUGUGUAGACACUGGAAGGAAAUGACAACAACUUUGCAAUGCCUAUACGAGAUCAAGUUGCAAUGACACUUAUGAAAUCAAAGAGUAACCAUGUAAUAGGUGACCUAAGCCGCUAGUGUUAUCUAUCACAAAGCAUGGGUAGCAAGAUCAGAGAACCAGAUUGACUGGAGGAUUAAUUUCUGACCAUUUAUCCCUUGAAUGCCAAGAGAAACUAUUCAGGCAACUAUGCCUGCAGCAUAACCUUCCGAAUACAACAUACAUUACAGAGUGCAGUGAGAGCAAUUUACAUAAACCCAGAAAUCUGGGCUCAAUGUGGACUAAUCGUGUUUGUCUCUGUGGCAUAUGCCGGUCGAUGUAGUUUAUCGCAAUCGACUCGGGAAUAUUAACAUAACUGAAACUUGGUGAGGAAGUCAUGGCAGAUACAGGUUUUACAAUAAAAUACUUGCUCUUUGAGAGAAAGUUUGAUUAGUAACUUCUUUCACAAAAAACUUGGACAGCUAACUGAGGAUCAAAUAGCAAAUGUAAAAAUCCGUGUUGAUUGAGCAAUCAGAUGUUUUAAAGUCUUCAAAAUACUAUAACAAACUGGUCCUAUAAGCAUGGCUUGUAAAAUAGACAAGAUUCUGAGGAUAUGUGCUGCUCUAGUUAAUUUAAGAGAGGAUCUCAUUCGUGAUACAGAAUAACUUUAUAUGUCAUAAACAAGCAUGGACUCAGAUAUCAAGAUUGAUCCCCUGAACAUCAAAUUAAUUGCGUAGUGUUAAUGAAAUAAUUUUAUGGUGGAAAUUUGAUGUACAAAUAUGUAGAGUAAAUAAUAUUCAGGUCUCCCUUUUUUAUCUCCUGUUCUACAUUCAGAUUUUUAUACAAGAAAAGGUUAUGAGAUAUAGUGCAAACAACUGAACAAUGAAUACUUUCUUUUAUUCAACCACAAUGUGACAGACUAAAAUGGAAACAAAAAUUUUUCUCAAAAGGUCAAUUGCGCAUUCUUUAAAUUAUUGUCUUGUAAGAUUACAAAAAUACAGAAGUAACAACAGUUAUCAGUUUGUCAUUAAUUACCAUAUGUUUAAAUUAUGUAACUUAUAGUGUUAUUCAUCAUAUUUCAUAUGAAAUGUCUCCUUUCAUUCACAGGACAGAGACCGAACACUGCCAGGAUGUUAAUGUCUGGCUGUCCCAGUUACAGUUGUCACAUGAGCAAAUGUGCAUUAAAGCUUGCCAAUUAUCUUCAAGUAUCUCUAAUUCAGCUAAAAACGUCUUGCUGCAUAUUCCUUUACAAGUCAAGGCAAGAAACAUGAAAAGUUAAACCCUCUUAAGCACUUUACUUGAUCCUUUACAAAUUUUACAUCAUAUUGCACCGUAAAUGAAACAUGCUCACUAGGUGUCCAUAUAACAAGUGACAGUCUUUAGAUCUGUGCAAAACAUUGUAAGCUGCAAGCUGCAUGUUAUAGCCUCUGCUUCCAGUUUUCUGCAGCAGCAGCUUUCCAUCUACCAAUUUGAUAUUGCUGCAUUUCUGGGUAAGCUACCCAGUGAGUGAAGGAUGGGUUUGACACAGGACAUUUUGUUUCUAACAGCACAUCUUAACUCAGAUGUGCUGGUAGAAACAAAAUGUCCUGUGUCAAACCCAUCAGGACUAGCAG